rnacentral:rRNA from 1 species
UACGGGGGGGGCGAGCGUUGUUCGGAAUCACUGGGCGUAAAGGGCGCGUAGGCGGCCCGCACAAGUCUGCGGUGAAAACCCCCGGCUUAACCGGGGGCCGGCCGUGGAAACUGUCGGGCUGGAGGCUGGGAGAGGGCAGCGGAAUUCCCGGUGUAGCGGUGAAAUGCGUAGAGAUCGGGAGGAACACCGGCGGCGAAGGCGGCUGCCUGGACCAGUCCUGACGCUGAGGCGCGAAAGCUAGGGGAGCAAACGGG